CCUACGGGAGGCAGCAGUGGGGAAUAUUGCACAAUGGGCGCAAGCCUGAUGCAGCCAUGCCGCGUGUGUGAAGAAGGCCUUCGGGUUGUAAAGCACUUUCAGCGGGGAGGAAGGCGGUGAGGUUAAUAACCUCAUCGAUUGACGUUACCCGCAGAAGAAGCACCGGCUAACUCCGUGCCAGCAGCCGCGGUAAUACGGAGGGUGCAAGCGUUAAUCGGAAUUACUGGGCGUAAAGCGCGCGCAGGCGGUCUGUCAAGUCGGAUGUGAAAUCCCCGGGCUCAACCUGGGAACUGCAUUCGAAACUGGCAGGCUAGAGUCUUGUAGAGGGGGGUAGAAUUCCAGGUGUAGCGGUGAAAUGCGUAGAGAUCUGGAGGAAUACCGGUGGCGAAGGCGGCCCCCUGGACAAAGACUGACGCUCAGGUGCGAAAGCGUGGGGAGCAAACAGGAUUAGAUACCCGAGUAGUC
rnacentral:rRNA from 1 species